UACGUAGGAUGCAAACGUUAUCCGGAGUUACUGGGCGUAAAGGGCGUGUAGGCGGUUAGUUAAGUCUGGCGUGAAAGCUCUCGGCUAAACCGGGAGAGGUCGUUGGAUACUGGCUGACUAGAGGACGGUAGAGGCGUGUGGAAUUCCGGGUGUAGUGGUGAAAUGCGUAGAGAUCCGGAGGAACACCAGUGGCGAAGGCGACACGCUGGGCCGUACCUGACGCUAAAGCGCGACAGCAUGGGGAGCAAACGGG
rnacentral:rRNA from 1 species